AUGGUUGGGGUAGCUCCUGCAGGGACCAGCGCUGAGACAGACCGCAAAUAAAGGCGCGUCUCUCCUGACACGCUGGCUUGAAACGACCUCACUCACUUUCAGUAACAGCCUUGCCAGGACAGAGCUCAGCUCAGGUUGAAUUUAAGAUUAGGUCUCAGCAAUCUCAUCUCUGCUUGCCUAGAAACAAGCAGGUCCUACCUGUACAGGCCCAGCCGUGGGAUUUCCUGGGCACCGGGAGUACAGAACCCUGCAAGAGGAGCCCUUGGAUAAAGACAUUUACAGAGCUUCAGAUGUUGCAGGUCUGUGAGGGCGCACUCCUCUGUUCCCUUUCUUCUGGUGGAUCACUUCUCUUUAUGGGGCAGAGAGCAACUUAGCUCUGUGUGUAGUUCUUGUGCUGUUCAAGCCUGUGGAUGUGAGCAGUUUUUGUGACUGACCAGAACCCGGAGUCAUUUCUGGGAAGCAUGAACUGCUGCCUCUGAGGGGGUGGGAGCCAGCAAAAGAAGACUCAGGGGCUCCACCUCUUCCCUCCUCCCUGUGCAGGAAGUUACAUGGGAGGCUCUCACCCUGGUGGGGACAUUGCCCUCCAGGACAAACAGAGGAGGGAUGACCUCAGUGAGCUCUGCUCCUUUGCAAUGAAAUGCCAUAAACAGGGGCUGCCUGCAUGUGAUAGUUCUUUGUUAAUCUAAACACAGCUCAUAUAAAAGAUGUGCAAGGCCCUAGAGAAACUGCUCAGCAAAACAGCAGAGCCAAAAGCCUCAUUACCAAGCACUUACUUAACUAACAUGCUUCUGAUUUCUUUGAAAAGAAGCUCAGAAAACAUGUGAUGAAAUCCUGCAGCCUUUUUCCAGAACUCCUGAAUGGUCAUUAAAAUCACUGUUGCCCUGUUUAAGGAAUUUGAAGUGUCUUUCUCAAGGCUAAAAUGUGUUCAGAGUAUCCCCAUCUCACCCUGCUGGAAUAAGACCCCAGUCCCAGAGACUGAGAGCACUGGAUGAGCAUUAGUCUCCACAGUGUCAGCUCAAGCACUGUUUUCUUUAUUUCUGCUCUUUUUCUUGCCCUUACAUUUCCUCAGCCUGUGCCAGAAGAACAGUCAAAGGUCACAUAAUAAGCUGCUUGAGAGAAUUGUUCUGGGACUUGGAACGACCCAGCAAAAAGGUUCUGUGCACUCAUCUUAAAGGCUGCCACCACUGUAGUGUGGAUGGUAAAUGGGAAGAGGUAGAGGUUACCUAAUGUGGUAUCAGUAGUGAAAGAAAAGCUUAACAGUUUUUCCUUGGUGUUCCUUCUCCAUGUUACCCUUAGGACUCACUUCCCAGGGUACAAAUUACAAUGGUUUAAAAACAGUGUUAUGGAAGUAUUCCAUACUGAAGGUGGCCAGCCUUUUCAGUAUUAAUGUUCAAAUAGGGAGUAAAUGAGUCCUUCUCAAUAAUACUACUGGAAAAUACUUCCUGAUUUUUAAAAGAACUUUCUCCUUUCCAAUUGAUUAUUUCCAUUUUAAAGCACACUUGAACGUUUGUUGUUUAACUCCCAUUGAGUUUCUAGGCUGCUGCUCCAGCAAGGACAUCUUGUCAAAUCUGUGAUAAAAACAUGACUACUCUUUUAGGGUAAAACCUUACCUACUUCAUCAAAAACCAAGAGGUCUAACUGCAAAGUAAUUUGUCUUGCUUGAUCUUUUCACUAUUUCUGCUCUUUUUCCUUUUGUCGGUUCUCCACCCCCAGUCAGUAAGUCGGAACUGCUGCUGUAGGUUACCUGGAAAGAACUGAAGAACUGUUACAAACACAAACUCUUGUGGUCCCACUACUAUGUGUAGUCCUAUUUAUUGUUUCACUUCUGCCUGAAGUUUUGUUGUGGAUGGAGGGUUUGUUUGUAAAUUCUUUCAGAGUUUCUCAGCUUGGCUGAACUCAAAGAGACCCACUAAUGUGACUUGUACAAAAUGGAGAAGUUAAGGAAAAAAGGUUAAACGGAUGUCUUUGGGCUCUUCCUUGUUUUGAGCCACCAGAGGCAAGUUCUGAGCGAGGCUGGCUGCUUUGAAGUGGCCAGCUGAAGCUCCCAUCUGCCUUUGCCACACUGCCUCUGUUGAGGGUGUGGUGAAGGAGCAAGAGGAAUCCUCCCUGACCAGAGGAUGGAACUACCUCUGUUGAGGGUGUGGUGAAGGAGCAAGAGGAAUCCUCCCUGACCAGAGGAUGGAUCUGCUGAAGGCCAAGACAGCUUGAGACUGGGCAGUGACAGAAAUCUUCUAUAAUGCAUGGUAACAUCUGGCCCAUGUCAUCUUUUUCUGAUUCAGCUGAUGCUUUUUUUUCAUGUGAAAAUGCUAAAAACAGAUCCAAAGUCUCCAUAAUCAAGGCUGUAGCAGUUGUUUCUUUUUUUCAUUAUUAUUUGAGAAAACCUUUAUAAGUCCCUUUAGAUUUUGCAGCUCAUGGAUUAUAAAUCUGCUCUUCAAAGCGGAGGAAUCCAGCUUUCUGGCACUGGGAGCUGUCACAUCUCCUGCAGGAAGGUAGACAGCCUGACUGCUUCAAGCUGUAUAAUUGCAACAGCCAAAGAAUGGAUUCGCUUCUCUUUCCAUCCUAGGUCACACAAUAUGAAGAGACGGACAAGUUGUCUUUAUACUGUCCUUCAAAAACAUAUUUCUGUGCUAUCCUUCCUAGUUAUUCCCAUUGCAGCUGAAUGAACAGAGCAAGGGUAGGAGCAGCUCAGACCUUGCCUUGUUCAUUUUUUUUUCACACUGAGCACUUCACAUGUUGCCUGCAGAGGUCUUGUAGGCAUUAUGUGUGUCUACAAUAACCUUCUCCAGGCCACUUCUCCAGGCUGGGUUAAUUGGGAAGAUUGUGACCCCUCAGUAUCUAGGGAGGAAGGAUGGGGCUGGUAACAAGGGUAUUUUGAGGGCAGAGUGCCAUAGCUUUGCUCCAAGGAGGGCUCACCCUCUCAGAGAUCCCCAGCAUGCUCCCUUUGCAGCUGGCAAGUGGUGGCAGUGCCUGUAGUGCUGCAGGCACUGGUGGGAGAGGCUGCAGCUUCCUGAAUGCUGGCAGUGCAUGCCCUUACUUCGAAGCAGAUGAACCAGUAGCCCUAAGGAUCAAAGGAGCACAUGUGUAUGGAGGUCAAAGGGUGUUUAGAGGACCACUGUGGGAUAUAAUGUUCUUCUCUUCCUGGGUUCUGUCUGCUUUCAUCUUCAGGAACAGAGUGCCCUGUCUGUGUUUUUAUAGCCUGUAAUAACAGAUGCUUUUUAAUGAGUGCACGGACAGACAGCCUAUUGUCUGGGUUUGUGCCUCAGAACUGCAUGGUGGGAAGGGCUAUUGGCACUUGCCUUUGUUUACUCUGUUUCUAAGGAUGUGUGGUCCUUAGAAGGAUGGAGGCCUUGCUGUCCUUCAGGUGUUUUUAUGGGCCAAGCCAGAACACAGCUUGUUUGUGUUAAUUUUGCUUUUCUCAGAGUAACCCAACUAUGCCAUGGCCUGAGAAGGACCUCCACAUGCAUUUAAUCUUGGAGUGGACUCCAAGGGUAUCCAAAUGGCCCCAAUAAACAAGGGUGGCCUAUCUGAAAAUAUUUCCUGGUUGUGAGCAUUGCAGUGUAGGCUGAGACUAGUUAGAAAGCCUGGCUUGUGAAUACAUAUUUUCUCUUCUUUUAGUGUCCCAGUGGGGAAGACAGUCCCUGAAAGGCUAUGAAGCAUGGACUAGCUUUCAGAGCUUACUCCUUGCCAGCAGUCUCUCUGUGUGAGGCCAAUAAAAUUUGUUUGCACUUGACAACAAUAGAGUAUUUUUGCAUUUCACAGUGUGUCUCCUCUGGACUGACUGCUGUUUGGGAAGGCCCUUAGUCCAUCCCUCCCUUUUAUCCCAUGCAGACUGAAGACACCACCCUUUCAUGCCCUGCCUCUAGGAUGUGGUCAUUUGCUAUAAACAUUGGGGUGGGCUUACAAACUGGGUGGAGCUGCUUCCAAGCACUGACCUGGGAGGGGUCAAAGGAGGGAUAAAACCUGGGAAUGUGAAACUUGUCUCUGGAGUCAAAUAAUGCAUGGGUGAAGGGUGGUCUCUGAGGAGGCACUGAGAUGUGGUAGGAGCAGGAGGCAACUAUCUGUUCUUCCUGCAGGGCUAGGAACAGAUCAUCCAAUAUAAUCCCCUCAUGCUCACCCCUCCUCCCCUGCAGCCUCAGUUACCCAUUCGAGGGGCCAAAGUAAGAAGGAUGAUUGGGGAAAAGCAAGGGCAAAGAGCAUUUGAGCCCACCUUGUAGCCCUGCUGGGUCGGAAAGCAGUGCUUUGCUCCUCAGGGCUAGAGCUCACCUUGACACUGGGACAUGCAGAGAGGCCUUUUGUUUUUGAAAUGCUCAGCCCCAGGCUGACCACCUCACAUCUGGAGGGGAUGGUGGUCCCAGCAGCAGUGCUAACCCCAAGUGCCCAGGAGGCAGGGUCUGCCCUGUUCUUUAGUACAACAAAGGCUUUUGCACUAGGCCAGUGACCCUACUGAGAGGGGUCAGGCACUAAGUGCUGCAAAAGGUUUUUUGUCUCCUUCUCUGUGGAUAGCAGGGAAGCUUUGAGAUCCUUCUUUUUUCUCUCCAGCCUUAUGAGACGUGUGGAUGUUAAAAAAUCAGGAGAGUAGGUCAGGGGUUGUGCAUGGGACUGCAAGCCUACUGCAAAUACAAAGAGGCAGAGCCUUUCUAAAGAACGAUGUAAGGAGCUGUGGGCAGCUGUUUUUCCUAGGGCAACCCAAAUAGUGUACAGGGGGGUUUUGUGUGUGGCAGUCUGAGAUGAUCUACGAAUUUGUGAUCAAAGCUCCUUGGUGGAGAUGUGACACCCUUGCUGGCACAGCAAUCCAGUGAGCAACUGGGCAGAUCCCAUCAUGAGGGGGAGACAAACCCUGCAGUAGCCAGGGAUUGCUCACCUGAUGGGUUGCUGACAGUGGCUCUUCUUUUGCUCACACUAUCUUCAAAAUCUCUCACCAACUCCCUUUGUUGUGCUUAGCACAUCUGCUACAAAGCCCUUAUGAAAUAAAAUACUGGUUCUGAGAAAGAUAAUUAUUACAGGUGUUAUGAUCCAGAAAAUUUUUUCUAUUAACUCAGAUCUACAUUGCUUAAAUUAUUUUGAAAGAAAAUGACAGCGUCUCUAUUUCAAAAAUUGUCAGAAUGUUAUAUUUAAUACAGUUGUCUAAAAGAUUACAAAGAAUACUUUACUGCUGUACAAUAAAAAUAAAUAAUGUGAAUAGUUAUAUCUUCCUCAAGCAUAGCAGCUGGAUCUUUUUAUUAAAUCCUAGGAGCUUGAUUUGCCCAGUUCUUGUAAGGGACAAUUAAAUUUAAUGAUCUACACUUCAAAAAAAUGACCUGUGAUUCUGAGAAUUUUAAUUUAAUGGUUUCCCUGCUUGAAAUAUGUCUGAAGUGCAUUAUUGUUUAAAAUAAUUGUGUUUGGUGGUUUUUGAAAGUCAAACUGGAAACAUCUCAAGGAGACAGAGCCAGCUUUUCCCAUAUAAAAGGCUGACACACUAGAGUAAUGCUACUCUAAUAAGCAUUUGCCUUUUGGUUUGAACACAUAUAACUAAUUGCAAAAGGUGCUUCAUUGCAUUUUUAAACAGAAGGACACAAAUUUUGGAGAAGAAAUUAUAAUUUUAGUUGAAAGAGAAUUAAAAUCUCUUUCUGAUGAUGUUUCUGAAUUUGUACAAUAGCAUGACAUGACAUUUCCAAUGCAGCUUUUUCACUUCCAUGCUACACGAUUUAUAUGGUCAGUUUUGUAAAAAAGUGAAGCUUUAGUGAGGUUUUCUGGAUCAUUUAUAACCUGAUGGGGUUUUUUUAAGAUUCAAAAUUGCUGACAACAUAGAAAACCUGAAGGGGUAAAGGAGAAAAUCAGCAGAAACUAUCUUAUGACUGUGGUUUUCUUUGUACAGACAUAUCCCUUAGCAGCUCAUAUACUUAUUUAAUUUUGUAAAGGAAUAUCUAUUUGAAAGAGACAGAAGGUUUUGGCUGCCUGUUACUGAUAAAUCUACUUCUCUGAAUGCUCACUGACUCCUUCAUAGCUUGGAAAUGUGUUUUAUUAUUUGAACAAUUUAAUGAAGAGCAACUAGUCUGUCCAUUAAUUAUAUCAUUAGUUGCAUUUCAGUCAGUAUUUAACACCACAGUGCAGUAGAUUAGAACUAGCUCUUGCUCCUGUCACAUGAAGCAGCUCUGUGUACUGGCACUGAAGUCACUUAGAUGUGUCCCAUGAAACAAACAUGCAGAAUUUGGGUUUGUUUGUUUCAGGCCAUCACAGCAAAAUCUGAGUAAAGCACAGCAAGAUAAAAUCAAUUAGUACACAAAAUAUUUUUAUGCUAGGGAUUUAGUGUAAUGCUCUGUAUAAAAACUGUGAUUCAUUCCAUUAUUUAGUGCACUUAAUGGGUGUUCCUUAACAAGAGACAUCCUUAUACAUGCUAUUUUAUGAAACUUGGUAAGCAUAGGCAACAUUCACUCUUGACAGCUGCAGAUCAAAUUACAAGCAAGCCACAGAGAAUGUUUCUGCGGAGAGAACCCUUACUCCCCUACUGGGCUCCUAUGAAAGACUUGGCCAAAAUCCAGCUGACUUUGCUCCCCAGCUGCAAGGAGCCAGACUGCAUUACACUGCUGGCAGCACUCAGCAUCCCUGAGGAGGUUUUUCUGAGCAGAGUCCAAGAGCAGUCGCCAGCCAGGGCUGCACGGUCUGGUCUGCAGCUGGGGAACCUCGUGUGUUACUCAUGGCUGGGGUGGUGGCUGGAAGACCCAUUCAGGGCAUCUGGAGCCUCACCUCCUCCAGCUACCAGUGCAGCUCCUGCAGUGCAUGUCACUGCUGGUGUGGCUGUGGGUGUCUUCACAUCCUUGCCUCUGUGCUCUCGAUUGCCCCCGUGGGCUGGGGGAGCAUUUGUCACAGAUGCUGCCUACAGCAUUGUCCUCAUAGUUAUACAGCAUCCAAGGCAUUGGCCUGCUCAGGGUGCAGGAUCCUGGGCUCUUGCAUCCCCCCUCAACCUUUCCUGAAAGCAUUUGGACAGAUGCAAGGGUGCACCCUCAUCUCACAUGCUUCAGGAGAGAGGAAAAGUUUACACAGGUAAAGCUCUGCUCUCGCCAGGAACUCUAUAACUCACACAGUAAAACCAGCAGCCCAGCGAUACAGCAUACAGGGUAAACUUAUAAAUAAAAUCUUCAUUGUGUCCCAGUGAUGAGGAGACUCUAGUAUUGCAUAAGGACAUGAUUUUAAUGGACUUCAAUGCACCAGCAGCAUGGUGAAUGCCUUUACCAAUUUCUGUCUGACAGUUACCAUAUACAAUUACUAUCCUUCACCAAAAUAUUUGCAGCCAUGUUUAAUACUGCUUUUCAAAGUUAUGGCUGAUGUUCAUUUGUGCCAUAUGCCAAUAGCCAUCUCCUUCAAGAUAUAGAUUUAAUAUCUAUAUCUGUGAGAGACUGCUAAUGGUUAAUGGCUCAAACAGUAGACCACCAAGGAGGCACCUGGGCAUUCCCACCUGUGGGAAUAUAAAUACAAACCAAAUGGACCCUGUGCUUUGUGGGCUUCUUUCACUGGAUCUAGACUGUAACCAUCACUUUGAUAAAGCUGGGACACCCACAGCAGAGAAGACCAGAAGAUGAGAACCAAAUGGAUGCUAUCAGGAUCCAUGGGAUGGUGACAUUUUUCUCUACUUAAUCUGUCUCUCUGUCACUCUUUUUCUUUCCCGCCCUAGACCCCUUUUCCUAUUUCUAGACCCCUUUUCCUACUUCUUUCUCUCUCUCCCUUUUUACAUCUUAUUUACUGUUAAAUAAAAAUCCAUACUAUCAUAUUCAGCAUAUAGUCUUGUUUGUUUGUACCUUAACUUUGGUCAGAGAAAUCUCUAGUAAUUUUAAUAACUGGGUCUUAACUAUAUAGUAGAAAUGGUAUUUCUUUAAAGGCCUGGUGGAACAUCUCAAAUUCAAGUAGCAAGCUUGCUGAUACUGCCCUGUAAAAGAUCCAUGAGUGACUAGGGAGGCUUUUUGUAGGUUUGUUUCAUUUUGGUGUUUUAUUCUUCCUUAAGAAUGUACCCAAGAUGGCUGCUAUUAAAAAUCCCUCCUCAUGACUGUUUAGGUAAAGUUCAGUGCCAACUUUCGUUUAAGCUUCAACUUAACAGCUCUCAUUAAUUUCUCACAUUCUUCUGGGACUUGGGAUUUCCAUAUUUGGUUUUAUUCUUGGAUUAUAUCAGACAAGCUUGAACAAAAUUCUUUCAGCUAAAUGAAUGUGAAAAAAAUAUAUUCCAUAUGUUGUUAUCGAAAUCUUCUGUAGCUGUUUAAGUAAAAAAUGGCAAGCCAGAAAUCUUUAUGUUGGCUUGCAAUAUAGCCACUUCAAGAAAACACUCUUAGGUUGAAGAAAAUUGGUUAAGCAGUGUUAAAUCAACUUGUCAUUUUUUCUGCAUACUCUGUAGACCUCUUUCAUUUCCCCCUCUCCCUUUUUCUUAAUUUAGUUUUUAAACCCUUGUUUAAAAUAAGUUUGCCAGGGAUUCAUUUACUAAGAAUAUGUUUAAUGACAUCUCAGUUAUGGAUACAUUUGUCAGGAACCCCAGCUGGUAAGACCAAAAAGACAAAAUAUUCAUCAUUGCUUCAGUACAUAUGUAUAUUGUCAGCUUUCUUUGCCAGUUCUUACCAGUUUAAGCACCAGACCUGAUGAUCUUACUUAACAAUUUUUGCAUGUUCUUGCCCUUUUUUUAAUCCUAAAAAAAGAUAAAUAACAUACAAUACCCAGGCUAAAAGGAGUAUCUGACAAGUACCCACUUAAAAAUCAGAAAACCACAGGACUGAGGUUGUUACAACGGUACUAAGACUUCACAGCUUCUUUAUGUUCUUAUCAAGCUUACAACACUCUUUGACAAAACCCCAUGUUUAGAAAAAGAUUAAGCAUUUAAACUCAACUACUUAAAUCUAGGAAAAAGUAAGACUCGAGGCCAUUCUCUGGUCCACUAAGUAUCUAAUAAUUUGGAGCACACUGGGAUGUCCUCAGAGAGAGAAAUACUAAACUCUCCCUUUCCU